CGGCGCCGCCCAGAAGGCCCGAGAGCUCCCGGGCCGCGGGGCCGCCCCCCGCCCCGACCGCGGCCGAAGGAGCCGGAGACCCGGCGGGGGAGGCAGCUUACUUCAUCUGGGCCGUCGGAGCCGGCCGCUUCUCCGGGCAAGGUCGGCGGCGGCGCGGGGCGCGCGACACUGCGGGCCGGGCUCGGGCCAGGCCGCGGCCCCGCGCAUCCUCGUCCGCAGGCGCCGCCCGCCCCGACAGCUACAAGACAAUCCAGACUACAUCACAGAGGACAAGGUGUGCCCCAAGCCCCCUGAAGGAAGCCAGAAGAAAGGAACAAUAACCCGUGAGGCAUCCUGCGACCCAGACUGCGUCGGUGGCUUUCCACCUGUCAAGGAGCACCCUAUAGUUCUCUUCGUGAAGCUGAUUUUUUUUCAUCUUCCUAAACUGUAGGGUAGGCAGAAGUCAGGGUUAAGCCAGCCUGCUUCACAGACAUGGAAAGUGAGACCCAAAAAGAUGAAUGACUCACAAGAGAUGUCUGUGGAGUUAGAAAUAAAAUCACGUUGCAGUUUCUAUUUUCAGAACCACUCACUAAGUCAGCUCUGCUUGUUCACUCUGCUUUUUGCACCAGGUGGGGAGGGGGAGAACAGGUGUUGUGGAUUUUCAGCCACAAGUAGAUCUUUUCGUCCCCAGACAUGAGAAAGCUCAGCACUCCCCCCCCCCUCCCAAAGAUUGGCUUCAUAAAGUCUACAUGAAGCAGCUCUGUAUUGUUUUUCUAUUGCUGCCAUGACUACUUGCCACCAUUUAGUGACUCAAACAAUGCAAACGUAUUAUCUUACAGCCCUAUGGAUCGGGAAUCCAGCAUGGGUCUCAGUGGGCUCAAGCCCCAAGGCUGCAGGGCUGUGUUCCUUUCUACAGCAGCCUUUUUCUUGCUCAUUUGGAUGCUGCCAGAAGUCAGUUCCUUGUGGCUUGGGACUGAGAUUCCUAUUCCCUAGCUGGCUGUCAGCUGAGAGCCAUUUCCAGCUUCUAGAAGCUACCAUAUUCCCUGGCUUUUGGUCCCCUUCAUCGGUCUUCAAAGCCACACAGAAGGUUGAGUGCUUUAAUACCUCCUCUUUUUUUGGGUUCAUCUCUGACCCUUCUGAGAAAGGGCUUCUGCUGUUUGUUUGUUUUUUAAGAUUUAUUUAUUUAUUUUUGAGAGAAAGGGAAAGAGUGUGUGUGAGCAGGGGGAGGGGCAGAGGGAGAGAAGCAGACUCCCCACUGGGCGUGGAGCCUGACAUGGGGCUUGAAUCUGUGACCCUGAGAUCAUGCCUGAACUGAAGAGUCAGAUGCUUAACCAACUGAACCACCCAGGCGCGCAGUUUUUAAAAGCUUCUGCUUUUAACAACUCACAUGAUUAGACUGGGCCCACUCAAAUAAUCCAGGAUGAUCUCUCCCGUCUUCAGAGGCCAUAUCCUUAGUCACAUCUGCAAAGCCUGUUUUGCCACGUAAAGUGACAUUUUCACAGGUUCCAGACAUUAGAGCUUGGACAUCUUCAAGGGGUCAUAUUCUGUGUGCUACAAAUUAUAACUUUCCAGAGUCUCAAGCCCUCCUGAUAGUCCAGGAUCUUGAGGACUUUCUACUAAUAGCUUUAUUAAAAUAUAACUCACCCAUUUAAAGUGUAAAGUUUAUUGGUCUUUAGUGUGUUCACUGAGUGGUGCAGCAUCACCAAUAUCCAUUUAGAACACUUUUAUCACCCCAACAAGAAACUGUAUGUAUUAGCACAUACUCCCUCUGUCUCCCCAACUGUCUGAACCCUAGGCAGCCUCUAGUCUACUUUCUGUCUCUGUGAUUUGCCAAUUCUGGACAUUUCAUAUACAUGGAAUCAUAGAA